AGCGAACGCUGGCGGCAGGCCUAACACAUGCAAGUCGAACGAAGUCUUCGGACUUAGUGGCGGACGGGUGAGUAACACGUGGGAACGUGCCUUUAGGUUCGGAAUAACUCAGGGAAACUUGUGCUAAUACCGAAUGUGCCCUUCGGGGGAAAGAUUUAUCGCCUUUAGAGCGGCCCGCGUCUGAUUAGCUAGUUGGUGAGGUAAAGGCUCACCAAGGCGACGAUCAGUAGCUGGUCUGAGAGGAUGAUCAGCCACAUUGGGACUGAGACACGGCCUAAACUCCUACGGGAGGCAGCAGUGGGGAAUCUUGCGCAAUGGGCGAAAGCCUGACGCAGCCAUGCCGCGUGAAUGAUGAAGGUCUUAGGAUCGUAAAAUUCUUUCACCGGGGACGAUAAUGACGGUACCCGGAGAAGAAGCCCCGGCUAACUUCGUGCCAGCCGCCGCAGUAAGAC
rnacentral:rRNA from 1 species